ACCCAGAGUCACCGAUAAAGUAAGCAAAGUAGAACGCCAAGUAUGCCCGCGAGAACUUUGUCAAUUACCGUGAAUCGAUCCUUCUGAAGUCUCUCACCUCUGUCAACGCACCUACGAUCACUCUCUCUGGGUUCUUCACAAGUAUUUCAUUGAUAAAUCUGUUGCGGAUAAGCUGAAAGGGUUAUGCUGCAGUUGAUGUUUCCAUGCAAUGCCACCCAAGUGUUUGUUUUUAUUUCUCACUCAAAGUCCCAUGGGCAACACACAGUUUAGAUGCGGUAGCUGCUGCAUGUUUAAAUUAUGAAUACUCUGAACCCCCUCGUCUGGUGCAUAGAUUAGACAGAGACUGUUCUGGCCUACUGGUGAUGGGAAGAACACAGACAAGUACUACAGUUCUGCAUUCCAUCUUUCGGGAGAAAACAUCUAGGGCAUGUCCAUUUCAUUGCUUUUCUUGAUUUUUAGCUGUUUGAUCUUAAAUAGAUUGGCGAAGAGAAGAGAAUACUACAAAGAAGGUAUUGGGCACUUGUCCUUGGAUGUCCUAGACGUUCAAAGGGGUUGGUCACUGCUUCACUGGGUAAGGUUGUAUCCAUAUUGUUGCUUGUUAACUGUUUACUAGAAUAUCAGUUGGUCAAUCUUACUCCUGGAAUGUUAUGCUUUGUGCAUGCUUCAUCCAUUUCGUAUCAGAAUGGUCAAACUUAUAAAACGUUUACUUACGUAGUGUGCAUAAAUAAAAAGAAUGCUUUGCACUGAACUGCAACCAGUAGUAUAAUCGAUUGUAUCUUUCAUGAGAAAAGAGGGGAAAAUAGUCAUCGUAUAUGUUUCUUUCCCAUGUACAGUGUUACGAUUUACUUUAUAGAAAAAAGAGAAAAUGUUGAGUGCAAGUUUCUCUCCACUUCAUAUC